UAGUUGGUAAGGUAACGGCUUACCAAGGCGACGAUCAGUAGCCGACCUGAGAGGGUGAUCGGCCACAUGGGAACUGAGACACGGUCCAAACUCCUACGGGAGGCAGCCGUGGGGAAUAUUGCACAAUGGGCGAAAGCCUGAUGCAGCAACGCCGCGUGAGGGAUGAAGGCCUUCGGGUCGUAAAACUCUGUCCUCAAGGAAGAUAAUGACGGUACUUGAGGAGGAAGCCCCGGCU
rnacentral:rRNA from 1 species